UGGUGUGGGAUUCUUCCCUGAUUCUGAAUGC
rnacentral:piRNA from 1 species